AACGAACGCUGGCGGCGCGCCUAAUACAUGCAAGUCGAGCGAGAAAGUGUAGCAAUACACUUGUAAAGCGGCGAACGGGUGAGGAAUACAUGGGUAAUCUACCAUCGAGUGGGGAAUAACCAACCGAAAGGUUGGCUAAUACCGCGUACGCCUCCGAGUCUUCGGGUUCGGAGGGAAAGCUGCACUGUGAGUGUAGCGCUCUUUGAUGAGCUCAUGUCCUAUCAGCUUGUUGGUAGGGUAAUGGCCUACCAAGGCUUUGACGGGUAGCUGGUCUGAGAGGACGAUCAGCCACACUGGCACUGCGACACGGGCCAGACUCCUACGGGAGGCAGCAGUAAGGAAUAUUGCGCAAUGGGCGAAAGCCUGACGCAGCGACGCCGCGUGGGGGAUGAAGGUCUUCGGAUUGUAAACCCCUUUCGGGAGGGAAGAUGGAGCGAGCAAUCGUUCGGACGGUACCUCCAGAAGCAGCCACGGCCAACUUCGUGCCAG
rnacentral:rRNA from 1 species